rnacentral:lncRNA from 1 species
CGUCUUCCCAGAGUAGUAUCAGCUGAGCCUCUUGAUUUUGUGGGAAGAAAGCUGAAGCAGCAUGAGAAGUUCAAGUUCAAUGUAAAGCCUGCCUAUGACCAUUUCAAUCAAGAUCACCAUAGUGUCCGAGUAAGUGCCGUUGAGUGAGAGCUCCAGGUAAGCCUGGCAGCACACAACCCACUCACUGGCCCCGAUGCUGGGAGAUGUUC